GUCUACAGCCAUACCACCCCGAAUGUGCCUUAUCUUGUCUGAUUUUAGAAGUUAAGCACGGUAGGAGCUGGUUAGUACUUGGAAGGGGGACAGGACAGAGGUCUCACUAAUUGGGCC
rnacentral:rRNA from 1 species